rnacentral:rRNA from 1 species
CCAGACUCCUACGGGGGCAGCAGUGGGGGAUAUUGGACAAUGGGGGGAACCCUGAUCCAGCGAUGCCGCGUGAGGGAAGAAGGUUUUCGGAUUGUAAACCUCUGUGGACAGGGACGAUAAUGACGGUACCUGUCAAGAAAGCCACGGCUAACUACGUGCCAGCAGCCGCGGUAAUACGUAGGUGGCGAGCGUUGUCCGGAUUUACUGGGUGUAAAGGGAGCGUAGACGGCAGCGCAAGUCUGAAGUGAAAUCCCAUGGCUUAACCAUGGAACUGCUUUGGAAACUGUGCAGCUGGAGUGCAGGAGAGGUAAGCGGAAUUCCUAGUGUAGCGGUGAAAUGCGUAGAUAUCAGGAGGAACACCGGCGGCGAAGGCGGCUUACUGGACUGUAACUGACGUUGAGGCUCGAAGGCGUGGGGAGCAAACAGGAUUAGAUACCCUAGUAU